ACUGUUAUUAUUUAUUUUAAUUACAUUGACAUUGGUUUACUACUGAGUAAUGCUGGUCAUUAUGAAGAAAGUCAGGCAUAUCUGGAAAGUGCUCUUAGAUUACAAAACAAGUUUCAUGGAAGUCAAUCAAUUACUAUAGCCACAAUGUUAGUAAUGACAAGUCAUCAUCUUCUUGCCAACUCAUUGACUCACAUUGGAGCAUUUGCUGAAGCUAAGCAAAAUGAGAGAAAAGCAUGCAAUAUCUAUAGG